GAUGAACGCUGGCGGCGUGCCUAAUACAUGCAAGUCGAGCGAACGGACGAGAAGCUUGCUUUUCUGAUGUUAGCGGCGGACGGGUGAGUAACACGUGGAUAACCUACCUAUAAGACUGGGAUAACUUCGGGAAACCGGAGCUAAUACCGGAUAAUAUUUUGAACCGCAUGGUUCAAAAGUGAAAGACGGUCUUGCUGUCACUUAUAGAUGGAUCCGCGCUGCAUUAGCUAGUUGGUAAGGUAACGGCUUACCAAGGCAACGAUGCAUAGCCGACCUGAGAGGGUGAUCGGCCACACGGGAACUGGGACACGGUCCAUACUCCUACGGGAGGCAGCAGUAGGGAAUCUUCCGCAAUGGGCGAAAGCCUGACGGAGCAACGCCGCGUGAGUGAUGAAGGUCUUCGGAUCGUAAAACUCUGUUAUUAGGGAAGAACAUAUGUGUAAGUAACUGUGCACAUCUUGACGGUACCUAAUCAGAAAGCCACGGCUAACUACGUG
rnacentral:rRNA from 1 species